AGAAGGUUCCAUGAAGAGAACAAAAAUUACAAGCAAUACUUAAAAAAGAAUUUUUUGUCAAAAAAAUACUUCAAAAAGAAUUUUUUUGAGACAAGAAUUCCAACUCAUUUUGACAAUAAUUACUACAAGAAUCUCAUUAUCAAAAGGGGACUACUUCAUUCUGAUCAAAUAGGACAGCAAGAAAUCAUCUACAAUUUUUAUCAAGCAACAUUUGAGCCUUUCAUGCUAUGCUUUCUUCAAGAUGGGUUGCCUGCCUUGCCCGCUUCUAAAUCAUCUCCGAAAUUGAAAGGAACAGUUAGGAUGUAA